rnacentral:rRNA from 1 species
AAAACGACUCUCGGCAACGGAUAUCUCGGCUCUCGCAUCGAUGAAGAACGUAGCGAAAUGCGAUACUUGGUGUGAAUUGCAGAACCCCGUGAACCAUCGAGUCUUUGAACGCAAGUUGCGCCCGAAGCCAUUAGGCCGAGGGCACGCCUGCCUGGGCGUCACAC